rnacentral:rRNA from 1 species
UACGAAGGGUGCAAGCGUUACUCGGAAUUACUGGGCGUAAAGCGUGCGUAGGUGGUUUGUUAAGUCUGAUGUGAAAGCCCUGGGCUCAACCUGGGAACGGCAUUGGAAACUAUUUGACUAGAGGAAUGGAGGGGAGACUGGAAUACUUGGUGUAGCAGUGAAAUGCGUAGAUAUCAAGUGGAACACCAGUGGCGAAGGCGAGUCUCUGGACAUUUCCUGACGCUGAGGCACGAAAGCCAGGGGAGCAAACGGG